UCCUGUAUGUAAUGGCCAGGUAGUAAUUAGGAUCCAUGUUUGGAACUGAACUAGAACUUGUGGGUCAAGAUUUAUUUUACAUAGGUACAACCGUUUUUUUGCUAAAAAUUAAGUCUGCGUAAGAAAAUCUCAGUUCACUUGUUCUCAAAAAAAAAAUCCCAGUUCACUUCGGUCUAGACAGUCACAGUCCAACUAAGGAUCUUAAAUUAAAAAAAUGUUAACCGUAUAAAGGGUAAAUAUACUAGUGACUAGUUUCAAGAAUCUUGUUUGAAAAACUAACUAAAAGAUACAUUGUUUCUUUCAUGCAUAUUACUCUAGAUUCAAAACAUGUAAUUGUGCCCGACCGCCCUAGGUGGUUAAUACCUCUCCAUGUCCCUCCCUCGUGCGAGUGCGACCGCCUCCUCCUCGUCCAGAUCUCCUCAGGGAGUUCC
rnacentral:lncRNA from 1 species